GUUGCAUUUGUAAUCUUCAACAAAAUAGCUAAGAUAUUGGACUUGAGGUACCCAGUCCUUCUUUUUACUUGAUUAUUGCUAGGAGUAUGGCUGCUCCAAACCUUAAAACAUCCUGCUCCAGUAUGGUUGGUGUGCACAUUCUUUACCAAAACAUGGUGUGCAGUACAUGAGACACCAAAGUCAACGAUAAUACUUAUGUCAUCAUGAAGUUGUUAAAAUCAUAACAUUAAUACCCUUUAAAUUAUACCAUCAGAGGAUCACAAUGUUAUUCACCUUUUCUUGUGUUAUAGUGUAUAGUGUACUCUGUCUUAAUCAAUAUUGGUGAAGCUGCUAUGGAUAUUUUUUUGCUUGGAUUAUUUCUUAUCAUUUUUUUCUCUUACUCAUUUUAUUAUACACGUUGGUACAUUCAUGUAUUCAGGGGAAAGGAAUAAUGCUUACAGAGUGACUAUGU